rnacentral:rRNA from 1 species
CCUCGGAUCAGGUAGGGAUACCCGCUGAACUUAAGCAUAUCAAUAAGCGGAGGAAAAGAAACCAACCGGGAUUGCCUCAGUAACGGCGAGUGAAGCGGCAAGAGCUCAAAUUUGAAAGCUGGCUCCUUCGGGGUCCGCAUUGUAAUUUGCAGAGGAUGCUUCGGGUGCAGCCCCCGUCUAAGUGCCCUGGAACGGGCCGUCAUAGAGGGUGAGAAUCCCGUAUGGGGCGGGGUGUCUGCGUCCGUGUGAAGCUCCUUCGACGAGUCGAGUUGUUUGGGAAUGCAGCUCUAAAUGGGUGGUAAAUUUCAUCUAAAGCUAAAUACUGGCCGGAGACCGAUAGCGCACAAGUAGAGUGAUCGAAAGAUGAAAAGCACUUUGAAAAGAGAGUUAAACAGCACGUGAAAUUGUUGAAAGGGAAGCGCUUGCAACCAGACUCGCUCGCGGGGUUCAGCCGGGCUUCGGCCCGGUGUACUUCCCCGCGGGCGGGCCAGCGUCGGUUUGGGCGGCCGGUCAAAGGCCUCCGGAAUGUAGCGCCCUUCGGGGCGCCUUAUAGCCGGGGGUGCAAUGCGGCCAGCCUGGACCGAGGAACGCGCUUCGGCACGGACGCUGGCAUAAUGGUUGUAAACGACCCGUCUUGAAACACGGACCAAGGAGUCUAACAUCUACGCGAGUGUUCGGGUGUCAAACCCGUACGCGCAGUGAAAGCGAACGGAGGUGGGAGCCCCCUCGCGGGGCGCACCAUCGACCGAUCCUGAUGUCUUCGGAUGGAUUUGAGUACGAGCGUAGCUGUGGGGACCCGAAAGAUGGUGAACUAUGCCUGAAUAGGGCGAAGCCAGAGGAAACUCUGGUGGAGGCUCGCAGCGGUUCUGACGUGCAAAUCGAUCGUCAAAUUUGGGUAUAGGGGCGAAAGACUAAUCGAACCAUCUGGUAGCUGGUUCCUGCCGAAGUUUCCCUCAGGAUAGCAGUAACGCGGAUCAGUUUUAUGAGGUAAAGCGAAUGAUUAGAGGCAUUGGGGUUGAAACAACCUUAACCUAUUCUCAAACUUUAAAUAUGUAAGAAGCGCUUGUUGCUUAGUUGAACGUGCGCAUUAGAA